rnacentral:lncRNA from 1 species
GUAAAUGAGAAAUUUAGUAUUUUAAGCAUAUCAUAUUAAGAUUUAUGCCAAUUAUAUAAAACUCAAUUCUAGAGACUAUUAUAGUUGAUUAAAUCACUGAGAUUUGUGAUUGAACCAUACUAACUGUAUUUAAAAGUCUGUAUCAUAGCUUUUCACUUGAGUCUAUUAAAUUUUCAUGUCAAUUUUCCAGGCAUUUUGACCAUAAUUCAGUGAGCAACAGGACUCUUAAAUCCUUGGAACAGAGAAAGGCCUUCUAAAUUAAAGAGCAUAUUUUAAUCAACAUACAGUUAACAAAGACUUACUUGCUAAUUUAGACUUCUGAUCAGAAUUACUUGCAUAUGGUUUUGUUUUGAAAUCUAAAAGGCAUUGGCUAUAAAAUAAGAUGUGAAAGUGAAUACCAACAUCAGUCUUUCACAUAGGCACAGAAAUGAUCUAUGUCAAAUUCUGAUUUGAGUGACUCAGGAAUAAUAUAGAAUUUACCUUAAGGCUAAUGCCAGAAAGUGGCUGAAAAUAUUUUACUGGUUCAGGUGGUCCCAAUCCAUUAAAAUCCUCCAAACAGAGGAGCUAAGGUGUCGUAGUCUCUAUCAUCUCUAUCAUCUCGAGUGAAAAUGGGCCAAGGUAAAUAAGAUUUUCCUAAUAUUUCAUAUUUUUUCAACCAGCUAUGGCUACACUGAAGUAGUAUUACCAUGAUAGCCUUUAUUCAUUGUAGAAAAGUUGAAGUUAUUGAAAAUUUAGUACAAGACAGGACCAUCUGCAUUGCAUGAUUCAGUUUAUCUUCAGAGAUGAUUGACUAUUUUAGUUUGGGACAUAAAAUUAAUGCAGCGCAAGAUUCAUCUCCCAUGAAAUUUUUUCCACCUCUGUGAGAGAGAAAUCAUUCUUUUUGGGUUUAAAGGCAUCAAGAGGCAAAUGAAAAAAAAAAGCACACUAAAGCUGAAUUGCUUUUCUCAUUGAUAGGAGAAUCGUGCACAGCUUCUACUUUUACUGUACACAGAUAACAAAAUGAAGGAACUACUUUUACAGGUCCUGAUUCCGAGAAGUGAAAUUUGGUGGCGUGAGAAGGAAAAACAACACAGAAAGAAGCAAACCUCACGAUGGCCAUUUGAACACAAUCGGAGCUUGUUUACUGCUGUGGACUUGGAACUUCCUCUGAAAAAAAAAUGCAUGCGAUUAGGAAAAUAACUAAGCAGCUAAGAAUAGUCCUCUGAAACCUGAGAGCCACCUCUCUUCUUUCUCACUCCUGGCAGUGCAGUUAGCAAGAAUGUAUGUUUUUAAUACGCUGAUUCUUAGCCACAAAAUACUUCUAUAAUUAGUACAAAACUUGAAUAAUGUAUUGUCUGUUAUUGUGCACAGCACAUAAUAUUUGGAGACUUGUACUGGCAGAUUCGUUCACAUAUGUCACCACGGUACCUGUAAUUUAGUUUAAUGCCAGGUCAAUGUUCAAAGUGCCUGUGUGUGUGUGUGUGUGUGUGUGUAUUUAAAGUUUUACCUGAUAGUUAUUUCAUGAGGCUUCUCAGUAGCUUUCUGAAGUAGUGUCCAUUUUAAGGAAAACGUAAUCAGUCAAAAUGACAAUUUCUUGCAGGAAUGCACAAUAUUCUUUAUUCACACAAGGGCAUUGAGUGGUGCAUCAAUGGCUCACCAACUAGGAAAUUAUUUAAUAAUUAUCCCUAAAAAGGGCAAGACUGGGUGAAUGUGCAAUUAGCAAUCCAGGGUCUUGCCCAGAAAAGUGCUAUCUUUUGAGCAAGUCUCACCAAAUCAGGAUCUGAAAUCAGUCUGCAAGACACAGUGAGGUGUUACAGAGAAGCCUAGCAAAUCCU